rnacentral:rRNA from 1 species
GACGGUACCUGACGAGAAAGCCACGGCUAACUACGUGCCAGCAGCCGCGGUAAUACGUAGGUGGCAAGCGUUGUCCGGAAUUAUUGGGCGUAAAGCGCGCGCAGGCGGCUAUGUAAGUCUGGUGUCAAAGCCCGGGGCUCAACCCCGGUACGCAUCGGAAACUGUGUAGCUUGAGUGCAGAAGAGGAAAGCGGUAUUCCACGUGUAGCGGUGAAAUGCGUAGAGAUGUGGAGGAACACCAGUGGCGAAGGCGGCUUUCUGGUCUGUAACUGACGCUGAGGCGCGAAAGCGUGGGGAGCAAACAGGAUUAGAUACCCUGGUAGUCCACGCCGUAAACGAUGAGUGCUAGGUGUUGGGGGUUUCAAUACCCUCAGUGCCGCAGCUAACGCAAUAAGCACUCCGCCUGGG